rnacentral:lncRNA from 1 species
GGAGAUUUUAUGCAACACUGAGGAGCUGAAGGGUGAGCUGUGGCGUCUGCAGAUGAAAUACAAUCAGGUGGUUGAGCACAAGAGACUCAUCCAGCAAGAGCGAGAAGAUGUUUCUGUGGAGGUGGAUGCAAUUACCACUGACUGCCUGGCCCUUCGAGAGCAAGUGGCCAUCUAUGAGGAGCAGCUGGCCGCCAUGGAGAGGCAGCACGAAACGAGACUGGAGAAAUUGUGUGAGCCCAGGACUCCGGAUGAAGGUUCUCCUACUGUAUCCCUGCAGUUCCCCUCCUUUGAUAUCACACCAGCCAUCAUGGACAUCAAGGAGUACUAUGGCACACUAGCCGAGAGCCUCAAGUUUGAGUUCAGAGCCUCGAGCACUGCCGCCAUUGAUGCCGCAGGAAAGGAGGAGGAGCAGCUGGCUAAGUUGACUGGAGGGAAAGUGAAGGACGUCUCCAAAGAGACUGACUUGAAUGUCCUCAAGAACUUGAUUGCGGAGCUGCAGAAAGAGGUGGCAGAGCUGGAGAAGCGUGGAGACGAGUUGGAGGCUGAAAUAGAAGCCAGGAAAGCCAAAUGCCUGGAGGAAAUAGAGAAGCUGGAGAAUUACAUUUGUCAGCUGGAGGAGGAGGAGGCUGAUCUUCAGUUCCAGAUGAAGGAUCAGAGUGGGGACUAUGAAGAACUGCUGAAUCAGAAGAUGAAUCUAGACAUAGAGAUUGCUGCUUACAGGGGUUUGGUUGAAGAAGAAGAGGAGAGACUGAGCUGCCUGUAAGAUGCAAGAAGAGGUGAUGCUCUCCUCUGGACUGAAGCAGACACAAAGAAACAAUAAAACCACAUACAAUUCAACCCUUAACUGCAAAUCUCACAAAUCAGGAAAGUAAAGAAAACAGCUGUCAGACACACUUAACCUUCUGAGCAGAUGUAAACCUUCACUGACAGAUGAACUUCAGGGAGUUUGUGCAAGCUCAUUGAUAACGGGUCAGUGGCAGGUAACCUCGGGUCUUCAAGAAACGCUGGAUCUGUGCAGCAGUGGGAGUGUGUUGAGAGUGAUGGGGGAUUUUCAGCACUGGAAUCUCCUAUUGAAAGUUUCAUAGUCCCUAUCACUGAGACACAUACACACCCUACUGUUGAAAAGUUUGGGGUCAGCAAGUUUUCUUUUUUUAAAGAAGCAGUACUUUUAUCCAACAAGGAUGCAUUAAACAAAAGUGAUGAUAAAGACAUUUAUAAUGUUACCAAAGACUUCUAUUUCAAAUGAAUGCUGAACUUUCUAUUAAUCGAAGAAUCCUAAAAAAAUACAUAAUUCCCCCCCCCAAAAAAAUAUUAAGCAGCAC